GGGCAGCCACUCAGCGAUGAGGCGCUAAUCCCAUAAAGCCGGUCUCAGUCCGGAUCGCAGUCUGCAACUCGACUGCGUGAAGUUGGAAUCGCUAGUAAUCGUAGAUCAGCAUGCUACGGUGAAUACGUUCCCGGGCCUU
rnacentral:rRNA from 1 species